UCUCUUUGGCUGUGUCUACUACCGCGCACUUGAGCACUUCGAGCACUGACUUUCAGUGUUCGAAGUGCGCCACUGAAAAAACCAGCAGAAUUCAGUGCACUGAAAGUACCCGGAUGGUGCACUGCAAACGGGCAAAAAAUGUAGUGUAAAACGAUGGACACUACUCGCCCUAAACGGCCGCCAUCUUGGCGACGUAGCGGAAGAGGAGGAGCCCUUUCGCCAGCUUUUCAUUUUAUUUCUAAAACAAUGGCGGACAGCACAAGCGGUAGACCACGAAGCUACAGACCGUAAAUAGACGUUUCCUGGAGGUGCUGGCUGGUCCUCUGCUGCCCUCCCGACAUCUGCAUCUGGCUCCAAUGACCUCUGGCACCUCACAUCCACCUCCAGGGCCUUUAAGAAGAUGGACCGCCAUCGCGUCUUCAGUAUCCCGAAGGACCUCUCCACAACACAACACAGCUGGCCUUUGACAGGCAGCAGUUGUAGCUUGGAGGUGGACAGGCUGGCUGAAGGGGUCAUGAGGCAGAUGGGUUGGGACAGGCAGGGGUAGCCACCAUCCCCAAGGAUACAGGAUCCUGGUGGAGGGUAUGACUGCUCAUAGAAGAUGGGGCUGUUAUUCAGGACCCUGGCGUCAUGCACUGAGCCCGGGGCCUGUCGAAGGCCCUGGCCACCACCCGAUAGGAGGUGGCGCUGGCAAGCCAAAAAAUAAAAACUAGACAGGAGAUCUCGGGGCCCCAACCGUGGUCAGUCAGUGCCCAGCACAGCCAUGAGGGCGUUGAAUGACUCGGUGAGCCUGAAGUCCACCCUCAUGUCACUGUGGCCAUCACAAUACAACGCCAGCAGUGGCAUUGCAACAUUGAUACGGCAGCGCCGCUGGGACUGGGUGGCUGCUGUAGAGUGUGUGGGGAGGGGAGGGGAAGGGAAGAUUAUAUUAAUAUGAAAGUCAUUUUAUCAAUAAAAUGUUGUCAUUGA